rnacentral:rRNA from 1 species
GGGGCUUCGAGUGCGGUACUCGUGGCCAACCUCCCACCCUUGUCUCUAUACACCUGUUGCUUUGGCGGGCCCACCGGGGCCACCUGGUCGCCGGGGGACAUCUGUCCCCGGGCCCGCGCCCGCCGAAGCGCUCUGUGAACCCUGAUGAAGAUGGGCUGUCUGAGUACUAUGAAAAUUGUCAAAACUUUCAACAAUGGAUCUCUUGGUUCCGGCAUCGAUGAAGAACGCAGCGAAAUGCGAUAAGUAAUGUGAAUUGCAGAAUUCCGUGAAUCAUCGAAUCUUUGAACGCACAUUGCGCCCCCUGGCAUUCCGGGGGGCAUGCCUGUCCGAGCGUCAUUUCUGCCCUCAAGCACGGCUUGUGUGUUGGGUGCGGUCCCCCCGGGGACCUGCCCGAAAGGCAGCGGCGACGUCCGUCUGGUCCUCGAGCGUAUGGGGCUUUGUCACUCGCUCGGGAAGGACUGGCGGGGGUUGGUCACCACCAAAAUUUUACCACGGUUGACCUCGGAUCAGGUAGGAGUUACCCGCUGAACUUAAGCAUAUCAAUAAGGCGGAGGAAAU